CAUUUACUACCUCCGUCCGGAAAUAUUUGUCGGAGAAAUGGAUGUAUCUAGACGUAUUUUAGUUCUAGAUACAUCUAUUUUUAUCCAUUUCCGCGACAAGUAAUUCCGGAUGGAGGGAGUACAUG
rfam:Triticum aestivum genome assembly, contig: Triticum_aestivum_CS42_TGACv1_scaffold_030947_1BL